rnacentral:rRNA from 1 species
AAACCUUGUGGCGUGCGCCNAACACAUGCAAGUCGAGCGAGAAAGGGACUUCGGUCCUGAGUAGAGCGGCGAACGGGUGAGUAACACGUGAGUAACGUACCUUCAGAUGGGGGAUAACCACUCGAAAGGGUGGCUAAUACCGCAUAAGACCACAGCGGCUUCGGUUGCAGAGGUCAAAGCCUUCGGGCGUCUGAAGAUCGGCUCGCGGCCCAUUAGGUAGUUGGUGGGGUAAUGGCCUACCAAGCCUUAGAUGGGUAGCUGGUCUGAGAGGACGAUCAGCCACACUGGGACUGAGACACGGCCCAGACUCCUACGGGAGGCAGCAGUGGGGAAUCUUGCGCAAUGGGCGAAAGCCUGACGCAGCAACGCCGCGUGUGUGAAGAAGGCUUUCGGGUCGUAAAGCACUGUCGGGAGGGAAGAGUGCCUGGGCUAGACCCAGGAGAGACGGUACCUCCCAUAGGAAGCACCGGCUAACUCCGUGCCACAGCCGNGGUAAUCCGAGGGUGCAAGCGUUAUUUNGANUAUUGGGCUUAAANGCCCCCCGGCGGCNUUGCAAGUUUGACGUAAAAUCCCGGGGCU